CGUUCCCGGUCUUGUACACACCGCCCGUCACACCACGAAAGUCGGCAACACCCGAAGCCGGUGGCCUAACCCGCAAGGGAGGGAGCCGUCGAAGGUGGGGCUGGCGAUUGGGGUG
rnacentral:rRNA from 1 species